rnacentral:lncRNA from 1 species
GGGUUCUAAUGAUAAACUGUGAGGAACUGUGGCUUCUAUCAUGAAUGCUGGCAUCAACAGCCAUCCAGGGUGAUCUUACCAAUAUUGAUUGGUUGGUUGACAUCAUUUAGCUUUUACAAAGGGAUAUUUACUGAUAAGAUAGACAAGGACAAAUGUUACUAAAAUAUAUACCUCAUGCUAAGGAUGAACACUCCCAGUGUACACAAGUUCCCAGUGGAGAGUGGGCUCAAAUUCACAGAAGAAAGAGAGUGAGGGACACUGCUCCUGAUGACUAG